GAUGAACGCUGGCGGCGUGCCUAAUACAUGCAAGUCGAGCGAACGGACGAGAAGCUUGCUUCUCUGAUGUUAGCGGCGGACGGGUGAGUAACACGUGGAUAACCUACCUAUAAGACUGGGAUAACUUCGGGAAACCGGAGCUAAUACCGGAUAAUAUUUUGAACCGCAUGGUUCAAAAGUGAAAGACGGUCUUGCUGUCACUUAUAGAUGGAUCCGCGCUGCAUUAGCUAGUUGGUAAGGUAACGGCUUACCAAGGCAACGAUGCAUAGCCGACCUGAGAGGGUGAUCGGCCACACUGAGACUGAGACACGGUCCAGACUCCUACGGGAGGCAGCAGUAGGGAAUCUUCCGAAAUGGGCGAAAGCCUGACAGAGCAACGCCGCGUGAGUGAUGAAGGUCUUCGGAUCGUAAAACUCUGUUAUUAGGGAAGAACAUAUGUGUAAGUAACUGUGCACAUCUUGACGGUACCUAAUCAGAAAGCCACGGCUAACUACGUG
rnacentral:rRNA from 1 species